AGAUUGAACGCUGGCGGCAUGCUUUACACAUGCAAGUCGAACGGUAACGCGGGGGCAACCCUGGCGACGAGUGGCGAACGGGUGAGUAAUACAUCGGAACAUGUCCUGGAGUGGGGGAUAGCUCGGCGAAAGCCGGAUUAAUACCGCAUACGCUCUGAGGAGGAAAGCGGGGGACUCGUAAGGGCCUCGCGCUGCGGGAGUGGCCGAUGUCGGAUUAGCUAGUUGGUGAGGUAAAGGCUCACCAAGGCGACGAUCCGUAGCUGGUCUGAGAGGAUGAUCAGCCACACUGGGACUGAGACACGGCCCAGACUCCUACGGGAGCAGCAGUGGGGAAUUUGGACAAUGGGGGCAACCCUGAUCCAGCCAUGCCGCGUGAGUGAAGAAGGCCUCGGUUGUAAAGUACU
rnacentral:rRNA from 1 species